UACGUAGGGUCCAAGCGUUAAUCGGAAUUACUGGGCGUAAAGCGUGCGCAGGCGGUUCGUUAAGUCAGAUGUGAAAGCCCCGGGCUUAACCUGGGAAUGGCAUUUGGGACUGCAAGGCUGGAGUGUGGCAGAGGAGACUGGAAUUCCUGGUGUAGCGGUGAAAUGCGUAGAUAUCAAGAGGACCACCUGCGGCGAAGGCGGGUUGCUGGGCCGACACUGACGCUGAUAGUGCGAAAGCUAGGGGAGCGAACGGG
rnacentral:rRNA from 1 species